AGUGAACGCUGGCGGUAGGCCUAACACAUGCAAGUCGAACGGCAGCACAGUAAGAGCUUGCUCUUACGGGUGGCGAGUGGCGGACGGGUGAGGAAUACAUCGGAAUCUACUUUUUCGUGGGGGAUAACGUAGGGAAACUUACGCUAAUACCGCAUACGACCUACGGGUGAAAGCAGGGGAUCUUCGGACCUUGCGCGAUUGAAUGAGCCGAUGUCGGAUUAGCUAGUUGGCGGGGUAAAGGCCCACCAAGGCGACGAUCCGUAGCUGAUCUGAGAGGAUGAUCAGCCACACUGGAACUGAGACACGGUCCAGACUCCUACGGGAGGCAGCAGUGGGGAAUAUUGGACAAUGGGCGAAAGCCUGAUCCAGCCAUACCGCGUGGGUGAAGAAGGCCUUCGGGUUGUAAAGCCCUUUUGUUGGGAAAGAAAAGCAGCAGGUUAAAACCCCGCUGUUCUGACGGUACCCAAAGAAUAAGCACCGGCUAACUUCGUG
rnacentral:rRNA from 1 species